UUCGGAUUGAAGCAAUUGUGACUGAGCGGCGGACGGGUGAGUAACGCGUGGGUAACCUGCCUCAUACAGGGGGAUAACAGUUGGAAACGGCUGCUAAUACCGCAUAAGCGCACAGUACCGCAUGGAGCAGUGUGAAAAACUCCGGUGGUAUGAGAUGGACCCGCGUCUGAUUAGCUAGUUGGUAAGGUAACGGCCCACCAAGGCGACGAUCCAUAGCCGGCCUGAGAGGGUGGACGGCCACAUUGGGACUGAGACACGGCCCAGACUCC
rnacentral:rRNA from 1 species